AGAGUUUGAUCCUGGCUCAGAUUGAACGCUGGCGGCAGGCCUAACACAUGCAAGUCGAACGGUAACAGGAAACAGCUUGCUGUUUCGCUGACGAGUGGCGGACGGGUGAGUAAUGUCUGGGAAACUGCCUGAUGGAGGGGGAUAACUACUGGAAACGGUAGCUAAUACCGCAUAACGUCGCAAGACCAAAGAGGGGGACCUUCGGGCCUCUUGCCAUCGGAUGUGCCCAGAUGGGAUUAGCUAGUAGGUGGGGUAACGGCUCACCUAGGCGACGAUCCCUAGCUGGUCUGAGAGGAUGACCAGCCACACUGGAACUGAGACACGGUCCAGACUCCUACGGGAGGCAGCAGUGGGGAAUAUUGCACAAUGGGCGCAAGCCUGAUGCAGCCAUGCCGCGUGUAUGAAGAAGGCCUUCGGGUUGUAAAGUACUUUCAGCGGGGAGGAAGGGAGUAAAGUUAAUACCUUUGCUCAUUGACGUUACCCGCAGAAGAAGCACCGGCUAACUCCGUGCCAGCAGCCGCGGUAAUUGUCCGGAAUGACUGGGCGUACAGGGUGCGCAGGUGGUGUGGUAGGUGACGUGUGACAGCGGACGGCUCAACCGUGCGUGGCCGCGACAAACCGCCAGACUCGAGACCUGGAGAGGGAAGUGGAAUUCCCGGUGGAGCGGUGAAAUGCGUAGAGAUCGGGAGGAACACCAGGGGCGAAGGCGGCUUCCUGGCCAGGAACUGACACUGAGGCACGAAAGCGUGGGGAGCAAACGGGAUUAGAUACCCCGGUAGUCCACGCUGUAAACGAUGUGGAGCCGGUGCGCGUGGGGGAUUGGCCCUGGGCGUGCCUGAGCAUACGCGAUGACUCCACCGCCUGGGGACUACGGUCGCAAGACUAAAACUCAAAUGAAUUGACGGGGG
rnacentral:rRNA from 1 species